CGAAGGGGGCUAGCGUUGUUCGGAAUCACUGGGCGUAAAGCGCACGUAGGCGGAUGUGCCAGUCAGGGGUGAAAUCCCGGAGCUCAAACUUCGGAACUGCCUCUGAUACAGCACGUCUUGAGUCCGAUAGAGGUGGGUGGAAUUCCUAGUGUAGAGGUGAAAUUCGUAGAUAUUAGGAAGAACACCGGUGGCGAAGGCGGCCCACUGGAUCGGUACUGACGCUGAGGUGCGAAAGCGUGGGGAGCAAACGAGGAUUAGAUACCCUGGUUGUCCACGCCUUAAACGAUGGAUGCUAGCCGUCAGCAAGUCAUGCUUGUUGGUGGCGCAGCUAACGCAUUAAGCAUCCCGCUGGGGAUACGGCCGCAAGGUUA
rnacentral:rRNA from 1 species